rnacentral:rRNA from 1 species
GACAGAGGCCUCAAGCGUUAGGCGGAAUCACUGGGCUUAAAGCGUGUGUAGGCGGGUCGUUAAGUGCCUUGUGAAAUCCCACAGCUCACCUGUGGAACUGCUUGGCAUACUGGCGAUCUUGAGCCACUUAGGGGCAACCGGAACAAACGGUGGAGCGGUGAAAUGCGUAGAUAUCAAGAGGAACACCUGAGGUGAAGACGGGUUGCUGGGCCAACACUGACGCUGAUGCGCGAAAGCCAGGGGAGCAAACGGG